UGAGCAAUCUGCCCUUCUCAUCGGAAUAAGCGUUGGAGACGACGUCUAAUGCCGAAUACGACCUCCUUUCGCAUGAUCGGAGGUGGAAAGCUCCGGCGGAGAAGGAUGAGCUCGCGGCCUAUCAGCUAGUUGGUGUGGGUAAUGGCCCACCAAGGCGACGACGGGUAGCCGUCGUGAAGAGGU
rnacentral:rRNA from 1 species